AGCUGUGCUGGUCUUACGGUGACCCAACCAUCCCCCUUCCAUCUCAGACGUCCCCACCAGCCAACCAUCUGACGGGCAAGCUCCUCACAGAAUGCCUAAAGAACUCUUCCGAGAUACUUCAAAUUAAGGAACAGCUUCUUGACUUGGCAUCAGAGUUUGGCAUUGAGACUGGUGGAGGUGGCGUCAACGAACUCGUGGACGUCGUCAGACGUGGUUUUCACGAGGCCGAGGGGAAGAGGCUGGCUGCUGAGAAGAGGGCUCAGACCAUCGAGCAGAAACACCUCGACUCAGCCAUGAGGAUUCAAGUCUUGGAGCUGGAGUUAGCUGAGGCUAGGAAACAGCGAAACAUCGCUGUUCAUCAACUCCAGGAUUUGACUCAACAGCCUGCCCUUGCUUCUUCUCCUGUCAGCAGUCAGAUUCCUAGUGUCUCUUGAUUACCAACACCAAGUCCAGAGUCUAGUGGUUCGGUGCUUGAAGUCAGCGACCAUACUUCUUCCGAUCCUGCCGUUCAGAGCUCAGUGGCUAUCGUUUUAUCACCUCUUCCUAGUCCACGAUCACCAUCAGUGGGUGGGGUUGUAGCCACCGUGAGCCAAAGCACUGCCCAAGCCAUCUCUCGAGUAUGGAGCAUGGACGACCUUAAGUCCUUCCAUCCAGGAGGUGAUGAUAUCAUCCUGGGUAGUGGUAUGAGCGGUACUGUCCAUCUCUACAGGCAUAAGGUCACCGACGAACCCAUUGCUGUUAAGAACUUCAAACUCCCUGCUGACAUUGAUGGGAUGAACAGACAGAUGGCCUUCAUCCUUGAGGAAGCUGACCUCUUAGAGACCUUGGGUCGAAAUGACUGCUUCCCAAGCUACCUGGGAUGUCUCCAGACAAGUCCAGGCUACGUAGGCCUAGCAAUGGAGUUCAUCGGUGACGUGACCAAUGGAGAAUCAUGGACAUUGGAUAGAGGUAUGGACGAGUAAGAUCUGACCAAAAAGCAAUGGCUUAAGCUCGCCCACAACAUCUCCACCUCCUUGGGUCAGAUGCAUGAGAUGGGGUUCCUCAUGAAUGACCUCAAGGACGACAACUGUCUCCUAAGGAAGACACAGACUGGUCAGUGGGAGGCAGUGAUCAUCGACUUUGGACUCGUCUCUCCAAGGACGAAGCCUUUCUUCUGUCUACUUUCUGAUGAUAAGAAAGAAAAGUACAGGAGAAAUGAAAACUUCGUUCACCUCGCUCCUGAGUGCGCCCUUGAUGAUGAGGCCACAACCACCAUGAGCGAUGUAUACCAACUUGGACGACUUCUGAAGUUGAUGGGAGAUGAAACUGACAUCGCCGAGCUUAACUCCAUUGGUGUCAUGUGUAUGCAGACCCCUCCCACUAGUCGACCGACCAUCGAAGAUGUCGUCGACUUGCUGGAGUG